UACGUAGGGUGCAAGCGUUAAUCGGAAUUACUGGGCGUAAAGCGUGCGCAGGCGGUUUUGUAAGUCAGAUGUGAAAUCCCCGGGCUUAACCUGGGAACUGCGUUUGAAACUACAAGGCUAGAGUGUGGCAGAGGGGGGUGGAAUUCCACGUGUAGCAGUGAAAUGCGUAGAGAUGUGGGGGAACACCGAUGGCGAAGGCAGCCCCCUGGGUUAACACUGACGCUCAGGCACGAAAGCGUGGGGAGCAACAGG
rnacentral:rRNA from 1 species